rnacentral:lncRNA from 1 species
UACAGGUGUGGUACAGACGGCAGAAGCAGAUGAGCUCAUAAGAAACAAGGAUUUGCUCUGCUGGAUCAUCUAUCUUCACUGAAGAACAAAAAGCAGCAGCAUAAGAUUUCACAGUCAAGUAAUGAUCAAGAGAAAUCUGCUACCUGAAACUGGGCAG